rnacentral:pre_miRNA from 1 species
AGCUUCUUUACAGUGCUGCCUUGUAGCAUCCAGAUCAAGCAGCAUUGUACAGGGCUAUGA